rnacentral:rRNA from 1 species
GACGAACGCUGGCGGCGUGCUUAACACAUGCAAGUCGAACGAAGUGGCGAACGGGUGAGUAACGCGUAAUCAACCUGCCCUUCAGAGGGGGACAACAGUAGGAAACGACUGCUAAUACCGCAUACUGAAGGAGGGGAUUGCGUCUGAUUCGCUAGUUGGAGGGGUAACGGCCCACCAAGGCGAGGGUCGGGAGCGUGUCGGCGAGUGUGAAGGGCCACAUUGGGACUGAGACACGGCCCAGACUCCUACGGUAGGCAGCAGUGGGGAAUCUGCCGCAAUGGACGAAAGUCUGACGUAGCAACGCCGCGUGAGUGAUGACGGCCUUCGGGUUGUAAAGCUCUGUUAAUCGGGACGCGGUACCGGAAUAGAAAGCCACGGCUAACUCCGUGCCAGCAGCCGCGGUAAUAC